rnacentral:rRNA from 1 species
UACGUAGGUGGCGAGCGUUGUCCGGAUUUACUGGGCGUAAAGAGCGCGCAGGCGGUCGUUCAAGUCGCGUGUGAAAGCCCCCGGCUCAACUGGGGAGGGUCACGCGAUACUGAUCGACUCGAAGGCAGGAGAGGGUAGUGGAAUUCCCGGUGUAGUGGUGAAAUGCGUAGAGAUCGGGAGGAACAUCCGUGGCGAAGGCGACUACCUGGACCAGCACUGACACUGAGGCACGAAAGCGUGGGGAGCAAACAGG